rnacentral:piRNA from 1 species
UACCCUGGUCCUCAUUCUGGAGUUCAC